rnacentral:lncRNA from 1 species
AGGUGGGAACAGGCAAGAAAACCUGGACCUGCGUGCUCUGAGGCUGCCCGACCCUGAGCUCCAGAACAGACCAUCGAGUUCAGGAGACAAGCAUGUCAGCCAUGACACAAGGCAGAUGAGAGGGACCCCCAGCGUCCACACGUGGAGGCAGCGGGGGCAGCCGAUCCAUACAAACAGGCUGACCAUCAGGGCUGGUCCCAGGCCACCAGGCUGGGUGCAAUGCAGAAAUGGAGAUCUGCCCCGGGGAAGGCAGGUGAGUGUAGGAAGGAGGGAGGGCUGCGAGAAGCUGGGGGCAGCCUCCAUCCCCCUGUGGCCUGGGUGGGCCUGUGCCCCCCCAA